rnacentral:rRNA from 1 species
UACGAAGGGGGCUAGCGUUGUUCGGAAUCACUGGGCGUAAAGCGCACGCAGGCGGAUUGAUAAGUCAGGGGUGAAAGUCCCGGAGCUCAACUUCGGAAUUGCCUUUGAUACUGUCAAUCUCGGAGUCCGGGAGAGGUGAGUGGAAUUCCUAGUGUAGAGGUGAAAUUCGUAGAUAUUAGGAAGAACACCAGUGGCGAAGGGCGGCUCACUGGCCCGGUACUGACGCU